AUUGAACGCUGGCGGCAGGCUUAACACAUGCAAGUCGAGCGGUAACAGAGAGACGCUUGCUUCUCUGCUGACGAGCGGCGGACGGGUGAGUAAUGCCUAGGAAUCUGCCUAGUAGUGGGGGAUAACUUGCCGAAAGGUAAGCUAAUACCGCAUACGUCCUACGGGAGAAAGGAGGGGACCUUCGGGCCUUUCGCUAUUAGAUGAGCCUAGGUCGGAUUAGUUAGUUGGUGAGGUAAUGGCUCACCAAGACCGCGAUCCGUAACUGGUCUGAGAGGAUGAUCAGUCACACUGGAACUGAGACACGGUCCAGACUCCUACGGGAGGCAGCAGUGGGGAAUAUUGGACAAUGGGGGGAACCCUGAUCCAGCCAUGCCGCGUGUGUGAAGAAGGUCUUAGGAUUGUAAAGCACUUUAAGUUGGGAGGAAGAGCAGUUAACUAAUAUUUGACUGUUUUGACGUUACCGACAGAAUAAGCACCGGCUAACUUCGUG
rnacentral:rRNA from 1 species